rnacentral:rRNA from 1 species
GUGGGGAAUAUUGGACAAUGGGCGCAAGCCUGAUCCAGCCAUGCCGCGUGAGUGAUGAAGGCCCUAGGGUUGUAAAGCUCUUUCACCGGUGAAGAUAAUGACGGUAACCGGAGAAGAAGCCCCGGCUAACUUCGUGCCAGCAGCCGCGGUAAUACGAAGGGGGCUAGCGUUGUUCGGAAUUACUGGGCGUAAAGCGCACGUAGGCGGAUAUUUAAGUCAGGGGUGAAAUCCCAGAGCUCAACUCUGGAACUGCCUUUGAUACUGGGUAUCUUGAGUAUGGAAGAGGUAAGUGGAAUUGCGAGUGUAGAGGUGAAAUUCGUAGAUAUUCGCAGGAACACCAGUGGCGAAGGCGGCUUACUGGUCCAUUACUGACGCUGAGGUGCGAAAGCGUGGGGAGCAA